rnacentral:rRNA from 1 species
UACGUAGGUGGCGAGCGUUGUCCGGAAUGAUUGGGCGUAAAGGGAGCGCAGGUGGGACGGUAAGUCCUUCUUAAAAGCGUGGGGCUCAGCCCCAUGAAGGGAAGGAAACUAUUGAUCUUGAGUGCCGGAGAGGAAAGCGGAAUUCCCAGUGUAGCGGUGAAAUGCGUAGAUAUUGGGAAGAACACCAGUGGCGAAGGCGGCUUUCUGGACGGCAACUGACACUGAGGCUCGAAAGCCAGGGGAGCGAACGGG